GGGUUUUUUUUAGGACGAAACUGCUCUGUUUAGACUUGUCUGUGGUUAUCAGGCUGUAGAAUCCUUAACUUGAUACAGAGGGAGCCAAAUUGGCAACUCAGAUUUUCAAGAGAACUGUGAAAAGGAAAAGGACUCUCUCUCCAUGGGACCGCUAAACUCACAAAGGAUUUUACGACAAAGUUGCAGAUACUGAGCCUUAAGGAAACUUUCCAGGUGUUUUGUUUUGCUAGUUUUAAAGGAACGUCCAAAGAAAACCAGAGGAAACACCUGGUGCUGAGCGUGGCUGGAGGGAGAGGCAUCAGAGCUCUUUUGUCUUUAGAAUGAAGGUGGAAAUGCAAUUCCCAGGUUAUCAGUGGAAUUUUGUAAGGUAAGUAAAAUUAAUUGUGGAUCAUAUUUUGCGUCAAAAAAAGUUGUGCUUUGCCGUUAUUUGUUGCUUUAAUGUGGAUUUAGACAUUUCAUAUUUUUGGUUUUUUUAAUCAAAUGGAUAGUUGGGUCUGUGCAUUGUAACAGACCUAAUAUGCAAGCCAUCUGCUUAGAGAAGAAAAAUUACAGUUGACUUUGAACUCAAAUUGGGCAAAUAUUUGUAAAGUUGAAAAUUAAGGAGUGGAUUUGCCUAUGACCAAGCAAAACCUAAUUUUGUGUAUGCUAUAUCAGAAUCAGCAAGUGGAUAAAUUCUCCCAAAAAGAAAUCCAGUAUUCAUGUUCUCAGAGGUACUUUAAUUAAUAUUAAAAUAUAAAGUUCGGGAAUAUAUUAGAACUGUUUCUUAUAUUGUCACACUUAAUUUGCCUAUGAGGACAUAAAACAGUAAAACUCCAGAAGUUCACACCAAGGCUCUGGACAAACGGGGCUCAGAGACUUUCAAUGAAAGAGUCUACAUAUUUCUUCUUUUUUAAGAUUUUAUUAUCAUUAUAUGUAAGUACACUGUAGCUGUCUUCAGACACCCCAGAGGAAAGAAUCGGAUCCCCAUUACAGAUGGCCGUGAGCCACCAUGUGGUUGCUGAGAUUUGAACUCAGGACCUCCAGAAGAACAGUCAGUGCUCUUAACCACUGAGCCAUCUCUCAACCUGUGAUGCUUCGUGCAUCAGGAGCUCAGAGCCCUUGGAUUUGCAGUAGGCACAGGAGAGGGAAGUAACACUCUACAAGGCUGCUGCGGCCUUGACAGAGCUGCCUCUGAUUGCAGCAAGAGGUUCAUUGAAAACCAUGGUUAAAAAGAUAAUAAUGCUUUAUUUAAAUAAC
rnacentral:lncRNA from 1 species